rnacentral:rRNA from 1 species
UACGAAGGUUGCAAGCGUUAUCCGGAUUUAUUGGGUUUAAAGGGUGCGUAGGCGGACUUAUAAGUCAGUGGUGAAAUCUCGUUGCUUAACAACGAACGUGCCAUUGAUACUGUAGGUCUUGAGUACAGAUGCCGUUGGCGGAAUGUGUCAUGUAGCGGUGAAAUGCAUAGAUAUGACACAGAACACCGAUUGCGAAGGCAGCUGACGAAACUGUAACUGACGCUGAGGCACGAAAGCGUGGGGAUCAAACAGG